UCUAGAGAUGUUCCGAUACCGAUACCAAUAUCGGAAAAUCUCCCAUACCGCCUGAAAUGCUGGUAUCAGUAUCGGCAAGUACUGGAGUUCAUGCACCGAUCUGAUACCACGUCAUUUAUCCCAAAAGAAAAUCUACUUUAAAGUAGUUUAUUUA